UACGUAGGGGGCGAGCGUUGUCCGGAUUUACUGGGCGUAAAGCGCACGCAGGCGGUCUGCUAAGUUUGGAGUGACAGUUGGUGGCUUAACUGCCAAAGUGCUUCGAAAACUGACAGACUUGAGGGCGGCAGAGGGACACGGAAUUCCGGGUGUAGCGGUGAAAUGCGCAGAUAUCAGGAGGAACACCGGUGGCGAAGGCGGGUCUCUGGGCUGAUAUUGACGCUGAGGAGCGAAAGCGUGGGGAGCAAACAGG
rnacentral:rRNA from 1 species